UUUGGAAUAGGCGUUCCCAUUUUGGCCCAAUCACUGGCUUCCUAGGCAAAGAUAUCAAAGAAAUUUGCAGGCAUUGACUGAUGCAACAGGCGAUGCUUUUAGAUAUGUACUGUGUUAUUCACUUAUUUGUCACUAUUUUACCGCACUUUGUUCCGGCUUUUGAUGAUUUAGAUCCCUUUUAUUAGAUAUGUAUAUGUAUGUUAGACUUUGGACUGUCUAAGGGUGUGUUUGCUUCCAAGUGGGAGGAGGGAGGAAGUAUUUUUUUGUGUUUGUUUUCAUAGUUUUGAGAGUGGGGAGAGGGUGGGGGAGAUGGUGGAGGAUUUUUCUCAUUCUUCACAAAGGAGGCACAAUUCGAUAUGC
rnacentral:lncRNA from 1 species